UGUUGCAGUGACUUGGUCUCUAAGUCAUAUGGGCUCACCUAACAGUUAUUGCCCAUACUUCUUAGUUAAGCCCGACCCACCAUUCACAAGCAGGUGUAAGGCCGUCAUUGGGUCCCUCAUCUAACAAUUAUUGGGCCUAACCCUAUCUUUAUCUUGGAGCAACUCUUUGCUAAUAGAGUGGUUGCGUAUUCCUGAUGCAACUGAACCACUGUAACCAGCCAAGAACAAUCAACAUCGGUUGCAUACCCAUACAUCUACAAUGGUGGAAGACCUAUGG
rnacentral:lncRNA from 1 species